UUAUAGUCAUUAGACUUCGCGUUCAGACGGUUAUCAGUCUUCCUUCAAAAGGGGUUUCCACGGGUGCCGUCGGCAGGCUGACCGUCCCCAUCCUGACGGAAGGAGACGCGCUGCCGAAGCAACUGGGGUUUUUCACAGAGGGUUUGGGCGUUCGGUCCCGGAGGACUUCUGCCGUCAGGCUCCCCGAAGGGUGCCGGAACUUUUUAAUGAUCCUUCCGCAGGUUCACCUACGGAAA
rnacentral:misc_RNA from 1 species